rnacentral:rRNA from 1 species
UACGUAGGGGGCUAGCGUUGUCCGGAAUCAUUGGGCGUAAAGAGCGUGUAGGCGGUCCGGUAAGUCCGCUGUGAAAGUCGGGGGCUCAACCCUCGAAUGCCGGUGGAUACUGUCGGGCUAGAGUGCGGAAGAGGCGAGUGGAAUUCCUGGUGUAGCGGUGAAAUGCGCAGAUAUCAGGAAGAACACCCGUGGCGAAGGCGGUUCUCUGGGACGGUACUGACGCUGGAGACGCGAAAGCGUGGGGAGCGAACAGG